ensembl:rRNA 5S_rRNA 5S ribosomal RNA
GUAUAUGGCCAUACUACUCUGCAUUCACCGGAUCUCAUCUGAUCUUGGAAGCUAAGCAGCAUUGGGCCUGGUUAGUACUUAGAUAGGAGAAUGCACUGACUUCUAGUUCAGCUGCCCACA